CCUACGGGAGGCAGCAGUAGGGAAUCUUCCACAAUGGGCGAAAGCCUGAUGGAGCAACGCCGCGUGGGUGAAGAAGGUCUUCGGAUCGUAAAACUCUGUUGUUAGAGAAGAAAGUGCGUGAGAGUAACUGUUCACGUUUCGACGGUAUCUAACCAGAAAGCCACGGCUAACUACGUGCCAGCAGCCGCGGUAAUACGUAGGUGGCAAGCGUUGUCCGGAUUUAUUGGGCGUAAAGGGAACGCAGGCGGUCUUUUAAGUCUGAUGUGAAAGCCCUCGGCUUAACCGGAGUAGUGCAUUGGAAACUGGGAGACUUGAGUGCAGAAGAGGAGAGUGGAACUCCAUGUGUAGCGGUGAAAUGCGUAGAUAUAUGGAGGAACACCAGUGGCGAAGGCGGCUCUCUGGUCUGUAACUGACGCUGAGGUUCGAAAGCGUGGGUAGCAAACAGGAUUAGAUACCCCAGUAGUC
rnacentral:rRNA from 1 species